rnacentral:rRNA from 1 species
AUUGAACGCUGGCGGCAGGCCUAACACAUGCAAGUCGAGCGGAUGAAGAGAGCUUGCUCUCUAAUUCAGCGGCGGACGGGUGAGUAAUGCCUAGGAAUCUGCCUGGUAGUGGGGGACAACGUUUCGAAAGGAACGCUAAUACCGCAUACGUCCUACGGGAGAAAGUGGGGGAUCUUCGGACCUCACGCUAUCAGAUGAGCCUAGGUACGAUUAGCUAGUUGGUGAGGUAAAGGCUCACCAAGGCGACGAUCGUUAACUGGUCUGAGAGGAUGAUCAGUCACACUGGAACUGAGACACGGUCCAGACUCCUACGGGAGGCAGCAGUGGGGAAUAUUGGACAAUGGGCGAAAGCCUGAUCCAGCCAUGCCGCGUGUGUGAAGAAGGUCUUCGGAUUGUAAAGCACUUUAAGUUGGGAGGAAGGGCAGUAAGUUAAUACCUUGCUGUUUUGACGUUACCGACAGAAUAAGCACCGGCUAACUUCGUGCCAGCAGCCGCCGCGG